rnacentral:rRNA from 1 species
GACUGCGUACCUUUUGUAUAAUGGGUCAGCGACUUAUAUUCUGUAGCAAGGUUAACCGAAUAGGGGAGCCGGAGGGAAACCGAGUCUUAAUUGGGCGUUAAGUUGCAGGGUAUAGACCCGAAACCCGGUGAUCUAGCCAUGGGCAGGUUGAAGGUUGGGUAACACUAACUGGAGGACCGAACCGACUAAUGUUGAAAAAUUAGCGGAUGACCUGUGGCUGGGGGUGAAAGGCCAAUCAAACCGGGAGAUAGCUGGUUCUCCCCGAAAGCUAUUUAGGUAGCGCCUCGUGAAUUCAUCUCCGGGGGUAGAGCACUGUUUCGGCUAGGGGGCCAUCCCGGCUUACCAACCCGAUGCAAACUGCGAAUACCGGAGAAUGUUAUCACGGGAGACACACGGCGGGUGCUAACGUCCGUCGUGAAGAGGGAAACAACCCAGACCGCCAGCUAAGGUCCCAAAGUCAUGGUUAAGUGGGAAACGAUGUGGGAAGGCCCAGACAGCCAGGAUGUUGGCUUAGAAGCAGCCAUCAUUUAAAGAAAGCGUAAUAGCUCACUGGUCGAGUCGGCCUGCGCGGAAGAUGUAACGGGGCUAAACCAUGCACCGAAGCUGCGGCAGCGACGCUUAUGCGUUGUUGGGUAGGGGAGCGUUCUGUAAGCCUGUGAAGGUGUGUCGUGAGGCAUGCUGGAGGUAUCAGAAGUGCGAAUGCUGACAUAAGUAACGAUAAAGCGGGUGAAAAGCCCGCUCGCCGGAAGACCAAGGGUUCCUGUCCAACGUUAAUCGGGGCAGGGUGAGUCGACCCCUAAGGCGAGGCCGAAAGGCGUAGUCGAUGGGAAACGGGUUAAUAUUCCCGUACUUGGUGUUACUGCGAAGGGGGGACGGAGAAGGCUAUGUUGGCCGGGCGACGGUUGUCCCGGUUUAAGCGUGUAGGUGUGUGUUCCAGGUAAAUCCGGUUCACUUUAACACUGAGGCGUGAUGACGAGGCACUACGGUGCUGAAGUAACAAAUGCCCUGCUUCCAGGAAAAGCCUCUAAGCAUCAGGUAACAUCAAAUCGUACCCCAAACCGACACAGGUGGUCAGGUAGAGAAUACCAAGGCGCUUGAGAGAACUCGGGUGAAGGAACUAGGCAAAAUGGUGCCGUAACUUCGGGAGAAGGCACGCUGACACGUAGGUGAAGUGAUUUACUCAUGGAGCUGAAGUCAGUCGAAGAUACCAGCUGGCUGCAACUGUUUAUUAAAAACACAGCACUGUGCAAACACGAAAGUGGACGUAUACGGUGUGACGCCUGCCCGGUGCCGGAAGGUUAAUUGAUGGGGUCAGCGCAAGCGAAGCUCCUGAUCGAAGCCCCGGUAAACGGCGGCCGUAACUAUAACGGUCCUAAGGUAGCGAAAUUCCUUGUCGGGUAAGUUCCGACCUGCACGAAUGGCGUAAUGAUGGCCAGGCUGUCUCCACCCGAGACUCAGUGAAAUUGAACUCGCUGUGAAGAUGCAGUGUACCCGCGGCAAGACGGAAAGACCCCGUGAACCUUUACUAUAGCUUGACACUGAACAUUGAGCCUUGAUGUGUAGGAUAGGUGGGAGGCUUUGAAGUGUGGACGCCAGUCUGCAUGGAGCCGACCUUGAAAUACCACCCUUUAAUGUUUGAUGUUCUAACGUGGACCCGUUACCCGGGUUGCGGACAGUGUCUGGUGGGUAGUUUGACUGGGGCGGUCUCCUCCUAAAGAGUAACGGAGGAGCACGAAGGUUGGCUAAUCCUGGUCGGACAUCAGGAGGUUAGUGCAAUGGCAUAAGCCAGCUUGACUGCGAGCGUGACGGCGCGAGCAGGUGCGAAAGCAGGUCAUAGUGAUCCGGUGGUUCUGAAUGGAAGGGCCAUCGCUCAACGGAUAAAAGGUACUCCGGGGAUAACAGGCUGAUACCGCCCAAGAGUUCAUAUCGACGGCGGUGUUUGGCACCUCGAUGUCGGCUCAUCACAUCCUGGGGCUGAAGUAGGUCCCAAGGGUAUGGCUGUUCGCCAUUUAAAGUGGUACGCGAGCUGGGUUUAGAACGUCGUGAGACAGUUCGGUCCCUAUCUGCCGUGGGCGCUGGAGAACUGAGGGGGGCUGCUCCUAGUACGAGAGGACCGGAGUGGACGCAUCACUGGUGUUCGGGUUGUCAUGCCAAUGGCACUGCCCGGUAGCUAAAUGCGGAAGAGAUAAGUGCUGAAAGCAUCUAAGCACGAAACUUGCCCCGA